rnacentral:rRNA from 1 species
GACGAACGCUGGCGGCGUGCUUAACACAUGCAAGUCGAACGCUGAAGCACCAGCUUGCUGGUGUGGAUGAGUGGCGAACGGGUGAGUAAUACGUGAGUAACCUGCCCUUGACUCUGGGAUAAGCCCGGGAAACUGGGUCUAAUACUGGAUGCAACAUGUCACCGCAUGGUGGUGUGUGGAAAGGGUUUACUGGUCUUGGAUGGGCUCACGGCCUAUCAGCUGGUUGGUGAGGUAAUGGCUCACCAAGGCGACGACGGGUAGCCGGCCUGAGAGGGUGACCGGCCACACUGGGACUGAGACACGGCCCAGACUCCUACGGGAGGCAGCAGUGGGGAAUAUUGCACAAUGGGCGAAAGCCUGAUGCAGCGACGCCGCGUGAGGGAUGACGGCCUUCGGGUUGUAAACCUCUUUCAGCAGGGAAGAAGCCACAAGUGACGGUACCUGCAGAAGAAGCGCCGGCUAACUACGUGCCAGCCGCCGCGGUAA